GAAAACAAUGACUCUAGGAUCUAGCCUGUGAAUCUAGGAACAUGUGGGAAUAAUCCAUUUGUUGAAAGUGUAUUUUGUUUUCUUGCUUGAUAUAUAUAUCACAGCCAAGUCCUCUGAAUUAAUCAGACUUCUACAUGUCCAGGGAGGGCAUUGAAAUUAUUUUGGUGUUUUUAAGUUCUAAUUGUACAUAUUUGUUUCAUGUCUAACAAACUUAACUAGUCACUGCCUU
rnacentral:lncRNA from 13 species